GCCUGAGUGGCUCAGUCGGUUGAGCGUCUGACUUCGGCUCAGGUCAUGAUCUCACAGUCUGUGGGUUUGAGCCUUGCAUCGGGCU
rnacentral:tRNA from 1 species